CUUUUUCCUUUUUUUUUUGCCAAAAUGUUACAUAAAACCCUUAUUAAAAAUACACGCAUUAAAAAUACACGAGUAGACUCCACACAGCACUCUGCUGUGCAGAGGGAGCCGCAUUCCGGAAACAUACAGUUAAGCACGUUAGAAAUGACGAUGUUUUAACUUGGAAUAGUGCAAAUCUGAGUUACAUCCUGAUACGAAGGCAUGCACGUCACUGGCCAAGACCACAGCAGAACAGAGCAGAGCAGGAAGCAGUCACAGCCACUCUUUAGAAACGAUUUCCUUUUUAUUACAUUAAUUUUUUUCAAAAAUACUUUUCUUUACAAUAGAACUCCUAGAAAAUAUUUACAACCUUCCUCUAAUAAAAUAUAACAGCAGUUAAAUAUAUUUGAAAAUAAGAUGGGUUUUUCCAUAAAAUAUAUCUGUUAACUUUUUAUAUACAAGCUUCCUCAAAGGGAGUCUAAAUCCAUUACUGAAAAACCAUCGAGUCAGUGGGAGCUGGGUGGAGACAUUAACCAUCAGGAAGAGAAGUUCUUUGGGGCUUUGGGGGGAGGGGCAGCUAAAACAGAACACGCACAUGCAGGUAAAAUCAUUUCUGGAAAAUAAAAGUGCAAUCUUUUAAUUGGAAGUCAAUUAAACUUUAAGCUGAUAGGAAAUACAAACACAGAUAUCUGAACUGUCUCAUUAAGGAGGAGUUCUUUGGUUAUUUCAAGUCAAAAUAUUCCUUAUGCUAUUCUGCAUGACAAAUCAAAAUGAGCUGUGCACUGGAUACUGGUGGUGGCAAGUCAGCUUGUUUCUAAGGUUUCAAACUGGGCAAAUCCCCAAGCAGGAGGAGGACACGAACUUCCCCAAGUUCUCUGGGCAUUUGCUCUUUUCUGUAGCUAAGCAGACGCCACGACAGACAGGGCCUGGCGGUCUGCUGAGGGGUGGCGGCUGGAAUGGUUUUAAAGGAAGCUCAUGCACGAUGCCCAGGGGGGUUCUUAAAGCGACACUUCUGAGAUCACACACAGGCUACGACAACCCUUUGAAACAACAGCAAGGAAAAUGUACCCCCCACCCCCACCC
rnacentral:lncRNA from 1 species